rnacentral:misc_RNA from 1 species
GAUGAAGAACGCAGCGAAAUGCGAUACUUGGUGUGAAUUGCAGAAUCCCGUGAACCAUCGAGUCUUUGAACGCAAGUUGCGCCUCAAGCCAUUAGGUUGAGGGCACGUCUGCCUGGGCGUCACAUAUCGUUGCCUGAUGCCAGUUUCCUCGUGAUGGGUGACUGUGCAGGGCGAAUGAUGGCUUCCCGUGAGCAUUGUUGCCUCAUGGUUGGUUGAAAAUUGAGUCCUUGGUAGGGAGCGCCGUGAUGGAUGGUGGUUGAGUGACGAACGAGACCCAAUCAUGUGAGACCCCUACCGAAUUUGGCCUUCAUGACCCACAUGCGUCUUUGGAACGCUCAUGACGAGACCUCAGGUCAGGCGGGGCUACCCGCUGAGUUUAAGCAUAUCAAUAAGCGGAGGA